rnacentral:lncRNA from 1 species
AAUACUAGAGUAUAUAAUUCUGCAGUUAGACAGAGCCGGUCUAAGCGAUCCACAUCCCCGCGAUCCUGUAAUGAAGACAGUACUCGAAGAAUUUCUUCGGAGAAUGCUACUUCAACUACAGCAGCAAGGGCGAAAUAGCCCCGUCUAUCAUGACUUUCUCUUUUGAAUGAAACGCGGACUCCGAUUGAAUUUCUAUCCGCGGUAAAUAAUGAGCUGUUCGAUAUCAAAGUUUUAGAGUUAAAAGCGAAUCUUCAGGAUCAACUUUUUAAUCUCUUUCUCAAUGAACCGGACAGCGAAUUUCUUGCAAUUUUACGCGAAUCCCCUUUUAGGGAACAAGGCUUAAGGCCAGAAAUACUAGAGUAUAUAAUUCUGCAGUUAGACAGAGCCGGUCUAAGCGAUCCACAUCCCCGCGAUCCUGUAAUGAAGACAGUACUCGAAGAAUUUCUUCGGAGAAUGCUACUUCAACU